AUUCUAUUACUUCAUUCGCUCAUCUACUCAUCUUGCGUUUGGCUGCGUUUUAAAUGUGGAAGGGAAUUUAAACACCCUGUUUGUUUGUGCCCGAAACUCCUCAAGGGAUAUCAGCAGAUAUAACAAUCCGAAGCAAGGGACGCUUAAUAAUAUCAGCAUUAUGCAUUUAGGCACCCAAGACUGGAAUUUAAAGGAGUUAUUCGUCUUGUGCAUGGCCAUGGCCCACUUCGAUAACGUUGUCUUCGGCGGCAAAAGGAAAUGUUCAUUUGUUUAAUCUUGGCAAAGUCAGAUUGUGGCAGGA
rnacentral:sRNA from 1 species